AUUGAACGCUGGCGGCAUGCCUUACACAUGCAAGUCGAACGGUAACAGGUCUUCGGAUGCUGACGAGUGGCGAACGGGUGAGUAAUACAUCGGAACGUGCCCGAUCGUGGGGGAUAACGAAGCGAAAGCUUUGCUAAUACCGCAUAAGAUCUAAGGAUGAAAGCAGGGGACCGCAAGGCCUUGCGCGAACGGAGCGGCCGAUGGCAGAUUAGGUUGUUGGUGGGAUAAAAGCUUACCAAGCCGACGAUCUGUAGCUGGUCUGAGAGGACGACCAGCCACACUGGGACUGAGACACGGCCCAGACUCCUACGGGAGGCAGCAGUGGGGAAUUUUGGACAAUGGGCGCAAGCCUGAUCCAGCCAUGCCGCGUGCAGGAUGAAGGCCUUCGGGUUGUAAACUGCUUUUGUACGGAACGAAAAGACUCUUUCUAAUAAAGAGGGUCCAUGACGGUACCGUAAGAAUAAGCACCGGCUAACUACGUGCCAGCAGCCGCAGUAA
rnacentral:rRNA from 1 species